AAGGCAAACUUAUUCAUAUGUACAGCAGAAGAAAAGCCGGAGAAAUGUCAUGAUCCACUCUUUACCUACUGAUAAGUCAGGGUUAGUAGCUGCUUCCUCCCAAGAACUGUUACAUGUCCCUCUUAAUGUCCAUCGGAUAAGGAUCAUUUACACUGUGAUUAUUGUGGAAAAUCAAGGCAUACAAAGGAACAUUGCUGGAAGUUACAUAGUCGUCCAUCCAAAGGGCAUGGAGGAAAACGGAUGAGCUCAACAAGACCACAAGCAAAUAUUUCUG
rnacentral:misc_RNA from 1 species